GGGAUCCUAGUAAAGCCCAAACUUCUCUCACCACAUUACAAAAUAAAAAGCAUAUAUAUUCGUUGAAAUCUGCAAUUGAUAGUACAUAUAUCCUCAAAAGUCCAUGUACGACACUGUAUGUGCUCUUAUAUUAGUUAGACACAUUUUUACUAUAAAUGCCAUGAUUUUCAGCUUAAUUGAUCAUCACUCAUCAGGUCACCGCAUUAUCAGAGGCUCCAGAAUGAAAACGUCAUUGAGUGCAGCGUUGAUGAGGUUUAAAUUUUCUAUUAUUACUUUAAUAAAUUACCUCAUCUCAUUUCAUCAAGAUGAAAAUUAAAACUUCAUUAGCGCUGCACUCAAUUAUGCUUCUAUCUUAUUGGGGCAGUGUUUUUAAUUAUUUUUUGUCUUCAUACCUAUAGAUGAUCCUCAAACUGUAGUGAACAAUCUGAGGAGACAGAGAUCCAUGGUGGUUUGAAACACACGGAAGUUGGCGAGAACCACAGUGCUUCAAUCGCACGGACCCACGGUGGUCGGGACUGUACAGAAGAGACUUGGUUAAACGAAAUUAACUGUUGAAUCAAUGGGUGGUUGAAGAGAAUGAAAGGAAUUGAGUCAUUUAAUCGGUUGUGGCUCAGAUCCAUUACUUGUAAAAAUCCAAACUUUUUAAUCUCUUGAGGAAUCGAACCCUCUAAGUUGUUGUUCCUCAAGGAAAUUCCCACCAUUGACGGUGAUAGAGAGGCCGGAACUUUAGAGAGGGAUUUUCCCCUGAAGUUGACUGUUUGUUGAGUGAGAGUUCCUUGAGAUUAACUUAUUAUUAAUAACAACGAUUUUUAUGUAAUUUUAAUGUAUAUAUAUUGUAUAUUAAUAAAAGAAUAUCCUAUAAUA